CAACAUCUGAAAACAGCACCACAGACAAAAUAGGUAACAACCCUGAAAAUCCAUUCAUGUGAAAGAUACAGCUUGCUAUUAUUAAAAGGUGGAGGUUCUAGUUAUGAGCCUCCUCAGGAACAAAUCCCAUCAAAUUCAGUGCUGCAUUCUCAGUUAAGCAUGAAUAAGACAUUAGCCUGAAGUUUAUGUCCAGAACCAUGCACCUUAUUACUGACUGUCUAGAAUCAAGUUUACUGUAUUCUACAAUUAUUUUAAUUAAAACUUAAAGUAAAACAAAAAAACAGCAACACGCGCAUGCUUGAAAGCAUUAGGAACAAACAGGCUUUUUCCAUUGCAAAUGCAUUUGUUUUUAAAGUGUCAUGAGAUUCACUGGUUUUCUUACUGCUGCAGGUUAAGAACAAACCUGUCGCAUAGUUUGGCCACAUUCCCACCAUACUUUUAAAUUGCCAUGAUACCACUUUAAACCAUCAUGGGUUUUCCUCAAAGAACCCUGGGAACUGUAGUUUGUUAAGGGUGGUGAGAGUUGUUAAGAGAGAACCCUAUCAUGUAGCUGUUGGGAUUCACAGAAUGCUGUAUGAGAUAGUCAGUCUGCAGGCUUGAGUUUGCUAGCUGUUCCAACUGGCUGAUGCAAUCAGCCUGCAAUCCUUUCUAUGGAAGUGCUGAGUCAAAAAGACUCGGCAGUAAUGUGCUGACAGUUGAUUGGCUGUCAUCGGUUUAAAAGGGAAACCUGUCCAGCAGUAAAGGUGGUGGUGUAGAGGAUUGUGGUCAGAGAGUGUGUGUUAGGGGUCUUCCUAUUUGCCUUAAGGUGCAGCCAGGUACUCUGUUUGACUGUAUGAACUGCUCAUGUAUUGUAGCCUUAUAUAUUUGUAUAUAAAGCUCACAAUAAAUAUACUGCACUGAAGAACCUGGAACUCUGAGCAUUUCUGCUAAAGUGCCGCGGAAAAUUCGCAACAGUAGCUACAAUUUCCAGAGUUCUCCAUGACUAGAGAUUGAUUGUUAAAACAUUUUGCUCUUGACAGUGGAAAUACUGCUGCUGCUGCUGCUGCUGCUACUACUACUACUACUAAACAUAUACGUUGGAGAGAGCACACACACAUUGUUGUUGGCCUCCAUCUUUCUCAACAGACAAUGGAGUGAUGUCAAACCACUGCAUUAGCAGCACUGAACUGACCUCCCCAAGACAUAAGCCUGGGCAGUGUGUAUUGAGGUCCUGGGCUGCCCAGACGACAAAACCCUGCUCUCAGCCUUCCUUAUGUGGUCCAAAGGAAAGCAGAACAAUAAGUUUGGCACCAUCUUGGCUGCAGGUGUUGCCCUGCAUACAAAGCACCAUCCAGCCGUCCUAUGGACUCCACUCAGGAUGAGUGAUGUCAUCAAAAUGUCAAAUUAAUGUACAUGGAAUUAUUCUACCUCCAGCUCAUAAAGUCAGGAUGUACUCUGGGGAGAGUCCCCUUGCCCCAAAAUUCUUCCUCUUGUUUUAUAAUGUAAAGCAAGGUCGUUUUUCUGUGCUAAUUUUGUUCCAUGGUUCCGCCAUCUGCAUUUCUCAGACUGACUAAGGUGCUGAAAGCUUGCUCAUUCUUUGAAGUGGAACACUCUAAUCCCUUCCUCUUGAUUAAGUGAUGGUUGAUUGCUGAAAUUUACUUUAAUGUGUUUUUCUUCUUUUUAAAAAACGGGAAUGUAAUUUAAGAACAAUACUUUUUUCUCUGAGCAAUCAGUUUGCUCGGGAGUCUCUAAGUUGGAAAAGCCAGUCAUGGUCUCAGGAAAGAAGCAUGUUAAUGUGACUUUUAAAGCAUGACUCUGGCAGUGUUACUAGUAGUAGUAACUGUAAUUAUAAUUAUAAUUCCUUUUGAACAAGUGACUAUUUCUCACCCCAUGCUACAAUUCUAAAUUGGUAGUGUGGGAAUGUGUAUAGGUCCUGAAAGGAAGCAAAUCAGUAUUAAAAAUUGUGAGUUUCUAUUGAAAAUAGUUUCACCUCCCCCUCCCUAAAGUGAUUUUCUACACUGCCCAUAGUUGCUGACUCAAUUCUGAGUUUAGUUGAGGGGAAUUCAUUUAUCACUGGUGCAGAUCAUCCUCAGUGAAAGUGUUCUAACACUCAUUCUGAGAGAUUUCUUUAUUACUUUUUAGGGCUGAGUCAAAAUAGCUGCUCCACAAUAUUUAUGGGUGGCAAAACUAGAGGGGUACUCGGUAUUCUUGAGGAAGGGAGAGUGGUAGAGUUCUUCCACAGUUUUUAAUUCAGAAAAUUCUCUUUUCCAAAUUUUCAGCUCAAUGUUCAGUGACUGAACUGGGAAGCGUAGGCGUGAAGCCAUUUCCUUCCUUCAACAAUAGUCAAAUAAUGUUGAAAGAUAUUAAAACUAGAUCAACAUUUGUGCCCAAAAAUUCACAGAAGAGAAAUUUGGGAGGCCAUUUUGCCGAAUAUUUUCCAGGAGAUGAUGGGCAUUCUUUUACAGUUCAGGAGGAGACUCAAAAUGAUUAUUUGUUUUAAAAGGGCAAAAAAUACUCUUCUGAUAAAUUUAAUUUCUUCUCCACCACACCACAUGGUUGUCUCAAGGCUGAGAAGGAUUGGCCCCUCUUGAUCAUUGUCCUGGCUGGGGCUGAUGGGAGUUGUAAUCAUUUAUUUAUUAAAUUUGUAUACUUCCCUAUAUCUGUAGAUCUCAGGGUGGUUCACAACACAAACAUCUGGAGGAGAUGGUGCCAGUGUCUCACAGGCUCCCAUUAGAGUUGGAGGGAAAAUGCUUCCACAGAACAAAGAAGCAGAAAGCUGGGCCAGAUAAACCAGCUAACCCCACCACUACCACAGAAUAACUCAUG